rnacentral:rRNA from 1 species
UGGUCAAGUUAUUAAGGGUGCAGGGCGGAUGCCUUGGCACUAGGAGCCGAUGAAGGACGUGAUAAGCUGCGAUAAGCUUCGGGGAGUUGCACGUAAACUUUGAUCCGAAGAUUUCCGAAUGAGGAAACUCACUUAGAGUAAUGUCUAAGUAUCAUUAAGUGAAUACAUAGCUUAAUGAGGGGAACUCAGGGAACUGAAACAUCUAAGUACCUGAAGGAAGAGAAAGAAAUUCGAUUCCGUAAGUAGCGGCGAGCGAACGCGGAUUAGCC